AGUAAAUAGAUACCCGGGUAGUCCACGCCGUAAACGAUGUCGACUUGGAGGUUGUGCCCUUGAGGCGUGGGCUUCCGGAGCUAAACGCGUUAAAGUCGACCGCCUGGGGAGUACGGCCGCAAGGUUAAAACUCAAAUGAAUUGACGGGGGCCCGCACAAGCGGUGGAGCAUGUGGUUUAAUUCGAUGCAACGCGAAGAACCUUACCUACUCUUGACAUCCAGAGAACUUAGCAGAGAUGCUUUGGUGCCUUCGGGAACUCUGAGACAGGUGCUGCAUGGCUGUCGUCAGCUCGUGUUGUGAAAUGUUGGGUUAAGUCCCGCAACGGGCGCAACCCUUAUCCUUUGUUGCCAGCGGUUAGGCCGGGAACUCAAAGGAGACUGCCAGUGAUAAACUGGAGGAAGGUGGGGAUGGCGUCAAGUCAUCAUGGCCCUUACGAGUAGGGCUACACACGUGCUACAAUGGCGCAUACAAAGAGAAGCGACCUCGCGAGAGCAAGCGGACCUCAUAAAGUGCGUCGUAGUCCGGAUUGGAGU
rnacentral:rRNA from 1 species